rnacentral:rRNA from 1 species
GACGAACGCUGGCGGCGUGCUUAACACAUGCAAGUCGAACGGUGAAGCGCCUUCCUUUUUGGUGGGUGUGGAUGAGUGGCGAACGGGUGAGUAACACGUGAGUAACCUGCCCCCUUCUUCUGGAUAACCGCAUGAAAGUGUGGCUAAUACGGGAUAUUCUGGGUCUGUCGCAUGAUGGGUCUGGGAAAGAUAUUGUUUCGGUGGGGGAUGGGCUCGCGGCCUAUCAGCUUGUUGGUGGGGUGAUGGCCUACCAAGGCGGUGACGGGUAGCCGGCCUGAGAGGGUCGACGGUCGCACUGGGAGUGAGACACGGCACAGAGUGAUACGGGCAGCAGCAGUGGGGAAUAGGGAAGAAGGGGCGGAAAACUGAUGCAGAGGGGCCGAGUGCGGAAUGGACGCCUUCGGGUUGGUGACCUAUUUCGUCAGGGAGGCAAGCCUGCUUAGUUUGUGUGUGAGUGAACGGUACCUGAAUAUGAGGCCCCGGCAAACUACUU